UGUGUGCCUUGGCAGUAGAGUUUGAUCAUGGCUCAGGAUGAACGCUGGCGGCGUGCUUAACACAUGCAAGUCGAACGAAGCACUGGUUUGAAGUUUCGGACGGAAAAGCCUUUGACUUAGUGGCGGACGGGUGAGUAACGCGUGGGCAACCUGCCGUAUGCAGGGGGACAACAGUUGGAAACGACUGCUAAUACCGCAUAAGCGCACGGGGACGCAUGUUCCUGUGUGAAAAGCCUUAACGGCAUACGAUGGGCCCGCGUUGGAUUAGGUAGUUGGUGAGGUAACGGCCCACCAAGCCGACGAUCCAUAGCCGACCUGAGAGGGUGACCGGCCACAUUGGGACUGAGACACGGCCCAAACUCCUACGGGAGGCAGCAGUGGGGAAUAUUGCACAAUGGGGGAAACCCUGAUGCAAGCGACGCCGCGUGAGUGAAGAAGUAUUUCGGUAUGUAAAGCUCUAUCAGCAGGGAAGAAAAUGACGGUACCUGCAUAAGAAGCCCCGGCUAACUACGUGCCAGCCGCGGC
rnacentral:rRNA from 1 species